ACUCCUGCGGGAGGCAGCAGUGGGGAAUUUUGGACAAUGGGCGAAAGCCUGAUCCAGCAAUGCCGCGUGAGUGAAGAAGGCCUUCGGGUUGUAAAGCUCUUUUGUCAGGGAAGAAACGGUGAGAGCUAAUAUCUCUUGCUAAUGACGGUACCUGAAGAAUAAGCACCGGCUAACUACGUGCCAGCAGCCGCGGUAAUACGUAGGGUGCAAGCGUUAAUCGGAAUUACUGGGCGUAAAGCGUGCGCAGGCGGUUUUGUAAGUCUGAUGUGAAAUCCCCGGGCUCAACCUGGGAAUUGCAUUGGAGACUGCAAGGCUAGAAUCUGGCAGAGGGGGGUAGAAUUCCACGUGUAGCAGUGAAAUGCGUAGAUAUGUGGAGGAACACCGAUGGCGAAGGCAGCCCCCUGGGUCAAGAUUGACGCUCAUGCACGAAAGCGUGGGGAGCAAACAGGAGUAGAUACCCCAGUAGUCCCAUGAU
rnacentral:rRNA from 1 species